rnacentral:rRNA from 1 species
UAGUUUUUUUAGAAAUAAAUUUAAUUUACAAAUUUUUGAUUUUUUAGUUAUUUAUUUAAUUGAAAAAUUUAUUUAUUUGAAUAUUUUAAGGGAUAAGCUUUAAAAUAAAUUAUUAAAAAUUAAUAGUGGUAAUAUAAAAUGUAUGCUUAGAAUUAGCAAUCAUUAUAAAGUUUGUUAUAAAUUAUUUUAUAAAUUAUAUUAUUUAUUAUAUUUUAAUUUAUUUAUAAAAAUUUUUUUAUGAAUUAUACAUAAAAAGGAAUAAUGAUAGAAUUAGUAUAUUUUUUUGUUUAUGUAAUUUUAUAUGAUAAGUUUGUAUAAAGAACUCGGCAAAAAUUUUACCCGCCUGUUUAACAAAAACAUGUCUUUUUGAGUUAUUUUUAAAGUCUGACCUGCCCACUGAAGUUAUUUAAAUGGCCGCAGUAUUCUAACUGUGCAAAGGUAGCAUAAUCAUUAGUCUUUUAAUUGAAG